AACCUCCCGGGCCACCCGGCCUGCGGCGGAAUGUUGCGUUAAGGGAAAGGUCAUAUUCAUACCCAUCAGUCACGCGAGCGCUAAGUCAGCUACGAAUUGGCUAUCCCGACUAACGGAGGGACUGACUCCACGGAGGGUGUAAGACCCGUGUGGGCGCGUGUAAAAGCUGAUUGGGGUUGGCCUCUUUUCCCUGAGAGUCGCGUUGCUCUGGCAUGCAGCGCUAAUCAGGUCGUAAACUCGAUCUAAGGCUAAAUAUUUCCACAGGCCCGAUAGCGAACAAGUACCGUGAGGGAAAGUUGAAAAGCACUCUGAAGAGAGAGUCAAAAGACCGUGAAACCGCUCAGAGUAUAAGCCCAUGGAGCUCGGAAGGCAUACCGCAGUCCCGUAAAAGGGUCGGCUUGCAUGAAGGUCUGUCAGGCAGUGGCAUUGAGUUGAUAUCACGCUGACGUGCGGGGAGGAAACUGGGCGCGGCCGGGCUUCGGUUCGGUCUCGCGUCCAGCUACUCUUUGUGCACGGACGUUCAAGGGUGCUUGCCGUAUGCGGAACCGCCCACCACGUCUCGUUGCGUGGUCACCCACAGGCUCGACUGUCGAUCGCGUGUUCACCUCGCUCGCUAAGAUGUGUCGUUCAGUAUGUCUCACGCCCUCCUGAUGGGCGUGGGACGACACUACGCGGCGUGGCACUGUAAUUGAACCGGACGGCGACUGAGAUAAACCUGGUAUGAUCCACUCGCGACGAGACGCUUUCUGGCCAGAUGUUGCGUACAGGCUUCGUCUCAUUGCCGAGCGUUGCCUUACACCAGGCGUUCUGGAGCUCUGCCACUAUCAUCCCUUGAGGUGGUGUGUAGCAACUUCUAUCGCCGUACGCACAUCUGAGUGGUGUUAGGUCCGACACCAUCGGUCACGUCUCGAAACACGGGCCAAGGAGUAUAGCAUGUGUGCGAGUCCAAGGGUCCCACAAAACCCACGGGCGCAGUGAAAGCAAGGUUGUGGCGGGUGAGCCUUCACGGGCAAAACCUCGUCAGCCGUAGCGUCCUCGGACGCUUGGCUUAUGGCAAGAGCUGAUACUACUAUUACGGAUAAGUCCUGAGGUAGUCGCAAGCUCCGGGCUCGCGUACAACACUGGCCGUUCGCGACUGUGUUGCGAGCACCGUGAAGCAUGCAUGCUAUGACCCGAAAGAUAGUGAACUAUGCCUGGCGAGGGCGAAGCCCCAGGAAACUGGGGUGGAGGCCCGUAGCCGUUGUGACGUGCAAAUCC
rnacentral:rRNA from 1 species